AUUCCUACUCUGCAACGUCGGACACUUUAAUAGUAACUGGGGAGCGAUUGCGUUCAGGGAGAUCGAGGACAAGUAUCCUGGCCAGAUCCUGACAUGUUUUCCCGGUAAGAGUUCUCUGCGGAGGCCACCUUUGGAGGACUCUGUAUAUUGAUGGAAGAGGGACCGCCGGAACCUAUCCAAAAGUAUUGUCAUGGGAAUUAGGUGUGUGUGGGUUCCAGGAAGGGCGAGGACGGACGGCGCACUACCACAGUCCGAUGAAUGUUCUCAUCACCGACCUUUGGAGUUUUUCAGCAUGUUGGAUUUUUAAACAUGUUCAGGUUGGAAAAUUGAGAGUGUAAUGUUAACAGUAAAGUUUAACCUUUUAAGCUGGUGGAGGAAGUUCAGACCACACCUGAACUGGUACCUGAGAUGACAGCACUGAAUCUGAAGACAAAGAAGGAUCAAAUUAGAACUGACUAUUAUUAGUCACUACUUCAGAAAGUCUUUUUACCUUAUUUUGGUAUGUUUAGUUAUUACUAUGAUUUGUAUGACUUUUACAUGUGUUUGAAAAGUAACAGAAGCUAAAGGCCAUUGUACAACUGGGUAACAGUCCCGUUUUCGUUCUCUUGCAUUUGGUUUGCCAUUCUGUAGCUGUGACUCCAGCUUGCUUUAGUUGAGCCUUGUCAUUCUUCACUCUCUGCAAACCAUUCCACGGAUUUGUUUUUCUUCACAAAAUUAGUUUCAUUUUCUUUGUUUGAUUGAUGGUCAUUGGCUACUGAAAUAAAAUAUGCAUUUUAAGGU
ensembl:processed_transcript Trmt61b tRNA methyltransferase 61B